rnacentral:rRNA from 1 species
GAUGAACGCUGGCGGCGUGCCUAACACAUGCAAGUCGAGCGGAGUCAAGUUUUCGGAUUUGACUUAGCGGCGGAUGGGUGAGUAACACGUGGGUAACCUGCCCUGCACUGGGGGAUAACAGCUGGAAACGACUGUUAAUACCGCAUAAGACCACAGCACCGCAUGGUGCAGGGGUAAAAACUCCGGUGGUACAGGAUGGACCCGCGUCCAAUUAGCUAGUUGGUGAGGUAACGGCCCACCAAGGCGACGAUUGGUAGCCGAUCUGAGAGGAUGACCGGCCACAUUGGGACUGAGACACGGCCCAAACUCC